rnacentral:rRNA from 1 species
UACGUAGGGGGGCUAGCGUUGUCCGGAAUCAUUGGGCGUAAAGCGCGCGUAGGCGGCCCGGUAAGUCCGCUGUAAAAGUCAAAGGCUCAACCUUUGAAUGUCAGUGGAUACUGCCGGGCUAGAGUCCGGAAGAGGCGAGUGGAACUCCUGGUGUAGCGGUGGAAUGCGCAGAUAUCAGGAAGAACACCAACGGCGAAGGCAGCUCGCUGGGACGGUACUGACGCUGAGGCGCGAAAGCGUGGGGAGCGAACGGG